AUAUAACUAAGCGGAGGAAAAGAAACUAACAAGGAUUCCCUCAGUAACGGCGAGUGAAGCGGGAAAAGCUCAGACUGAAAACCUCGGGAAUGUAGUCUGGAGAUGGGACAUCGAAGCUCUGGAAGUCGAUAAAGUGGUCUGGAAUGACACGCCGUGGAGGGUGACAGCCCCGUUCGUAUCGAUGAAAAGAGUUAGUAGAUGCCUAUCAACGAGUCGAGUUGUUUGGGAUUGCAGCUCAAAGCGGGAGGUAAAUUCUAUCUAAAGCUAAAUAUAAAUGGGAGACCGAUAGCACACAAGUA
rnacentral:rRNA from 1 species